rnacentral:lncRNA from 1 species
AAAUCCCUCAAAACCACGUAAGUCACCACUCUCCUUCGCCUCCAAGGUUUUCCCCCAAAUUUUUUCAUUCCCUCUCUUGCCCGUCUUCCACACUUUCUUUGCCUUCAAAAAUUUUUCCCUCCCUUUGUUGCAUAUCUUUAAUUAGCCCAAACCUAAUUGAAACUCUUCAAUUGCGAAUUUCGGCUUCAUCUGCAGUUCGAUUUCUAAGAAAUUCGGCUUCUACUAUAGAUCGAUUUCUGUGAAUUUCGGCUUUAUCUACAAAUCGAUUUCUUUGAUGUCUUCUUCCAGGUCUGCCCAUUCCAAGAUUAUAUAUUUAUAGAGUUUUACUACUACCUGUUAUUUAUCACAGUCUUGUUGUAUUUAUUAAGGAUGACAUGUAUAAUUCUACUUCCAAGUCUCCAAUUCAGGGAAAGAAUAGAGACGAAUUGCAAACUUUCAAUAAUACUUUGGAAAUUUUGGAUCUUAUAAGGGGUGACGAACUAAAUGAGAAUGUUGAAUGUCCAAAUGGUGGAAACGUUGUAAUAGUAACGAAUGUCUAUAUGAAACAAAUGAACAUAGUUUGGAAGGCGAAAAUAGUUAGGAUCCGAUGGAAGUGGUACAACCAAUUGCUCAGCCACAUGUUGCUGCUGAUGUAGAAUCAAUUCAAGCAAUCAACUUGGAAUUAAAUCAUAGACAUAAAAAAGUAGAGGAAAAAUUCCUGUAAGAAGAAAAAGCAGAGGAAGCAGAAAGCAGGAAAAGAAGAAGAGAAGAAGCGAUGACAAAACAUUUUUAAGCUAAUCUUUCGUUGUUUGCAAUUCUAGCAUUUCCCACUAGGGAAUUUCCAAACUAAUUUGAAUAUAUGCAGAACAUUCAUAUCUGGAAUUCUGAUGCCAUGUUUCUUCUAUUUUUUGUUAAUAUAUUUCUUGAACCCUUUACCGUCUGUUGGCUAUAUAUGACAUCCCCUCUUGGAAUUUUUCCUGCACCUCCGUUUUUGGUGUUGUAAGAGAUGCAACAAAAGGUUGUUGUUUUUGAUAGAAUCAAUGGUUUAUUUCUAUACCAAUGUUAUUACGAGUAAGCAUGUGGUUAACAUCAAUUUCUCAUCAAAUUUUAACAUUUGUGGGAAUGCUAAACAAUUUGAUAUAUUCACUUUUUACAAAAAGGUAUGGAGUUUUGCUGAAUACAUAGUUGUUGAUCGUAUUGAGACUAGUAAAAAAUCAUAUAAGAUUCGCUAUUUUCUGUUUCAAUUCUUUGUUCUGUGAGACUGGCCAUUCCCAAAAUCUGGGGAGGUCAUAUUAGAUGUCCCAUGUGGAUUGAUAAAUAAAUGUAUCAUUUACCUUUUUUAGCUUACAGUUGCUGCAGUUAUCAAUUUAGGUCUUUAACUGCGUUCCUCCUCUGCUUGAGGAUUUUAUGGUGGAUGUUCUGUUCUUUCUAAAAACUACAAAUAAUUGCUUUCAACUGGAAGUAGAGUUCUAUCAUUUUGGUGGUACUUUAUUUUGUAUGAUUUCGCCCGUAAGAAAAUAGGGGGGAUGGGGAAUGUCAAAUUUAAAGAAUGGGUGACUAGUAAGAGAUAUAUUUCUUUUUCUUUUUUCUGUUUUUCCUAUCAUUUGAUGGACUAACUAGCAUACAGAAAGCUUUUGCACAGAAAAAUAUCUUGUAUUUUAUUCACAGAGAACCCAUUUUGUUUUUUCUGGUUAUUGGUACUAUAGCUUGUUGCCUGAGCUAAAAAAAUUAUAAAAUACUUGUUUGGCUUACUUCUGUUAUUUUGAUUGGCGUGUCUGAGAUAAACUUUAUGGAAAGUUGAAUAUUAUGAGCUUGAAUACAGUACUUAGAGUGAUUGUAAUUUCCAAAUGCUUAAAAAAUAUUUCAAUCUGAUGGAAUUUGAAUCCCCUGUUCUUAACAAUUUUUUUGCUUUUUUAGACUAACUGAUUUCAAAUCCUUGGUCCUUUUGUUAUGCAAGCUAAAAUUUUCAAGCUUUUAUGGAUUUCAGAUAAAUCAAAGCUUGAGUCAUGAUUUCAAAAUUCAUCCUCAAAUUCACAGCUUUUAAUAGGAUGUUAUAUAUUUUAUUAAGUUAGACUCAAAUUUGUGAAGAUAAAAUAAGGCAAAAGUGCAGUGGACAAUCAAAUUUUCUUUUGGAGAAAGAUUUGAACAAGCGAGCAGCUGGACUAGCUCUUUCUACACACCCCAGAUGUGUACAUGGCUGGACAAUGCAUGCGUUCAAAAUAUACGCUUCAUUUGUUUAAGUUAAUCAUUUAUUUAGUCAAGUUCGUUCAUAUCUUUUGGAAUUAGGAUGCAUAAUCAAUGCACUGUUUUAUUCGUGUAUUUGGAAAAUACAUGAAUUAUAUUAGGGAUUAGUAUGCAUCUAAAUCUAAUUCAUAUAUUAGAUUAAAUUUAUGUUCUGUGAAGCGUAUAAAAGGCUAGUGAUUGUAGUCAUUUUCUACAAGUUAUUUUUUGGGGUGUUAAGAAAUAAAAUGAGUGUUAUUUAGAAUAUUAUCUUCUCCUCUUCUAGAAGAUAAUAACUUUUUUGUGAUGCAAGAAUCAUUAGGUACAUCG